UCCGUCUUUGGACGGCAGUUUCGCCGGAGACAUUCAACCGACGAUAGGGGUUGCGCUCGUUAAAGGACUGAACCUAACACCUCACGGCACGAGCUGACGACAGCCAUGUAGCACCUGUAACGCUGCCCCGAAGGGAACACGGUUUCCCGUGCGUUCAACGUCAUGUCAAACCCUGGUAAGGUUCUUCGCGUUGCAUCGAAUUAAACCACACGCUCCGCUGCUUGUGCGGGUCCCCGUCAAUUCCUUUGAGUUUUAACCUUGCGGUCGUACUCCCCAGGCGGACCACUUAUCGCGUUAGCUACUCCACGGAAGGGGUCGAUCCCCCCACGGAUAGUGGUCAUCGUUUACGGCUAGGACUAC
rnacentral:misc_RNA from 1 species